GGAGAGUAACACUGGAGAGCAGCAGUGGUCCAGCCCCUCAGAAUCUGAAAAGCAUCACAGGAGCCUCUGGAUAAAGACCAGCCUCAGUAGCAAGGCUAGGAGACAGAGGAUUUCUGCUCAGUGAUAAAACAUGAAACAGAUGUGAGGAAGCAGCAUGGAGCUCAAGAGAGGAAAGACCUUCAUAAAAUCCAGUGUGCAACAUGAGAAAGCACCACCAGUGCAUACAGCUCCUACCAACAAAGAUGAGAAGGGCAAAGAUAAAAAGGCAGCUCUGGAGGGAAACCAAAGUAUGGCUGAAGUCCAGUUGGCGUGUUUGGCCACACACAAGAACUACAGAUUUUCUACCAGAGCAACAAAGAAUGGAGCUGGUGACCACAGCCUGGAAAAAUCAUCUGGGUCCUCCUACAAACUUGUAAGGAAGAGUAAAACCCACGAGUGUGUUGCUGAGGCAGACAAAGCAGAGCACCGCAGCCCCAGCAGCAGGGCCUGUGAGGAGGGGUUUUCCGGAAAGCCUAAGGGCCGACUUGUCAACAGCAUCAGCUUUUCAGGGGUGUCCAGCUCCAGCAGUAAGAAGGAGUGUGUGGUCAGCCCCAGCCAGUCUGCUUGCAGCAGUCAGAUGAUUGAUUACAGGAACUUUGUGCCACAGAUGCCUUUUGUACCAGCUGUCGCAAAAACCAUUCCCAGGAAGAGGAUUUCCCUCAAGAGAUCUAAGAAAGGGCUCAGAGAUAUAUUUCACAUAAGAAAAAAUAAGCCAGACAGCCUCACAUUUCUGGUUGAGAAGGACAAGAACUUGUCCUCUCCAGGUUGCAAGAGUGAGUUGUCUGGGCGCCUUGCAAAGUAUCUGUUCAAAACCGGAGAAACAUUUGCAGCUGAUUGUUUGUCACAGGACUGCUCAGACAGUGAACUGCAGUCUGACUCCUCCUACGACUGCUGCACUGCCCUGUGUGAAGAUGUUGCCUCCCUGAAGAGCUUUGACUCCCUCACUGGGUGUGGGGAAAUCUUUGCUGAUGAGAGUUCUGCUCACCUGGAGCUGGAGAACAGCAAAGACCUUCUGCUGAGGCGAAGCAAGCACAAAGACAGCCCUGCCAUGGGCUCUUUCCAAGGCGGGGUGGAGCAGCUGGCCUCUCCUGGCCAGAAUGAGACUGUGGAAUUCGCAAAGUUUUGGGACAACAUCAACAAAUCAGUAAGGCUACAUCAGAGUGCUCUGUUUGAGAAGAAGCUGCUGAAGGUACCUGGUUCUGACACAGAAAAGAUUAAAAGUCAGGCUGCCAUAUCGGUGACAAGCCCCCAAGUGUCACCUGAUAAAGAAGGAGACAAUUCCAAAGACAGCUCCACAGAAACAGAAACACCGAAAAGUGAAAACCAGGAAUCCACAUCCACAAGUGAUGAAGGCUACUAUGAUUCAUUCUCUCCUGGACAAGAUGAUGAACUGAAGGAAGCUCAGACCCCUGGUGUCCCAGGUAGAUUUCCAAGAGACAGCUACAGUGGAGAUGCCCUUUAUGAGCUCUUCUAUGACCCAAAUGAAGUCAAAAUAAACCCAGUCCUUGACGAUGACUUGUGCGCAUCUGAAACAGUUUCAGAGCAAGCCAUUGAGAUCCCUCUGUCCAUUUACAGCUUUCACGUAGGAGCUGAGGAGAACAUGGCUUCCCAACCAACUCUAGACAUUAUCAGCCAGGGGUUUUUCCACAGCUCAUGGAAAGGCAAGGAAUGUUUGCUAAAGCUCUGUGAUACUGAGCUCUCGUUGACUAUGGGGAUAAUAAACUGGCUGCGAAAACACUCAGGACUCGUUUCCUCCCCGGACUCUCUUCAGAGUCCUCAGUCACAGCCAGAAAAGUCCAAUGAUUCAUCAAUCCUGCCCAGUCCCAGUCCAGAGCAGGAACUGAGCACAGAAGCUCAGCAGGAAAAACCAAGGAAGGAAGAUUCUAAUGCAUUUCCUGUAUGCCUAUCUUUGGAUGAAAGCAAAUACACAACCCAGGCCUCUUCAGCAAACGUCGCUGAAAGAGACUACAGCCUGGGCUCCUGCCCAAACACAUCUAAUCUGGAUUUCCAAGGAAGAGAAGGGAGUCACCAUGAGGAUUUAUCUACAGUGCCUGGGAUUGUGGAAACCACCACAUCAUCAAGUUGUGCACCACAAUCACAGGCUAAUGGGGACAACCUGCAGACAUCUUCAACUGACAAUGAGAGGAUGGCAAUUUCAUUGGGAUGUGAGACAUCUGGAGAUAAAAACCCGCUGCCAGAAAAGCUGAGCAGGGAGAGUGGCUCCCAGAGCUCUGAAAAUCCUUUGUUAGAUGAUAAUCACGAAGUAGAAUCAUGUUACUCCUACAAGACUGCUGUGACCUCACUCCUAGAUCCCCUUGAGAGGGAGGACAGAAACAAGCCAAUGUAUCACUCUUUCUCUGUUUCCUGUGACAAACCACAGCAGCCUCUCACCCUCAGACACUUCCAGGGCUACAUUAGCCCCACACCAACAGAGAGUAGCACUAACAUAGUGCAGCUCUUAGAGCACUGCGUAACACAGGUGGCAUCAUUAAAAAUCAGCUAUGAAAACAAGCACCUGGAGGACAAACACAUCGGGAAUGAAAUGAACAAUAUCAUUCAUAAGAUGUCUCGGUACAAAAACAAGUUAUUGUUGCAAAACGAAUGCAGCUGCAGUGCUCAAAAUCCAGAAUACACCAGUAUUCCUAGCACAAAUCAGUAUAACUAUGAGACAAGUUUCCAAUCCAGUGGUCUGUAUUUGAAGCAAAAUGGGGAGCAAAUUAGCUCUGAAGAUCAGAAAAGUAAAGCAAAAAUCCUUGAUGAGGUCAGCAGAAGAAAGAUAAAUUUUGAAUAUGCCCAGCUAGAUAAUCAAGCCCUCUCCUAUUUAAAGGACUUUGGUCUCAGCCCAAGUGACUCUUCCCCUGCAACAUCUCUCAGCAGACCAACGUUUUUACCCCUCUUUAACUCUGUCUGCUCAGACAUACCUGCCACGUUCUCAGGCAGCACUGCUGUCUCUGUAGCUGACUCGCUGCAGCACAAGGAGGCCAAGCAGUGCAGCCCAGGGCUCUGGGCUUACACAGAGACCCCCUGCCAGGGCCUGGCUGGAGGGAGUGCUCUGUCCCCUCUCCUAGAGGCAGCGGCCCCGGAUACAGCAGUGACAGCGAGGAGCCACCAGUAGCACACCCGCGUGGAGAAGGAAAUCUGCAGAUGGAAUGACUGAGUUGCUGCCUAGGAAAUUCUAAAAUGUCAGAUAUUCUGCAAAAGAACUGGAUUUAGUAAGGAUGACGACCUCAGAAGUGACAGUCUGCAGAGCCCUCCUGCUCCGCCGGACACCCUGUCAGGACCCGAAAAUCUCGCUACCAGACCUGACUCUCAGCUCGCUGCAAUCCUCCCUUCUCCAGCCGCCGCUCCUGCUGCUCUGCUGCGCCUCCCCGUGCUCUCCGGCACACGCUGCUGCACCAAACGAGCCACCCGCACAAGGAAAACAGCACCAAAGGCCUGCCCUGGAACCUCCCGAGGCCAGCCCGAUGUACGCGGCAGCCCAUGCCCAGUGACACGGCUGUGAACAGGACAUGGGAAUACUGGAAUGCCGUACUGUCCAAAUCCUUUCUGGAUCCUUGUGAGGGCCGACAUGCUCACAGGUGUUUUCAGAUUUUCAGUGGUUACAGGCACAGUUUAGGGUUCCUAGCACUUCAGAUCAUCAGGUGCGACACUGAAGAAUCCGUUUGUAGAUAUGGAUGUCCCCCCAACACGUAGUACAGCAUGAGACAGUUCCAGGAUGCUAUACCAAGACCAGAAUCAACAAGGAUUUCUCUCUAGAGAUCCCAACAGAGGUGUUGCAGCAACAAAUCAUGCUGGUCUGUCUAACUGACUAACAGGAGUUCCUGACAGCCAUGCACACCCCUGAAGCCAUGCUUGCAGAUGGCUGGUUAACUGAUACUCUUUUUUAAAAACACAACCAACUUCAGCAGGAUUUUGUAAAAGGCAUGACAAGGUUUAUGAGGAAAAGGUGGCAUAUUUCGGUCGCAUUGUGCCACACAACUGAAAAUACCACUAUUUUUUUAAAACAGGGGUACAUGCAGAAUGAGCUUUCACUUGGGAAGUUGUUAUGAGGAGGCAAAAUUGUUUUUCAGUGUACUAUUUUUUCUUUAAUUUUAGAGAAAAGCUCUAUGUAUUUUAUGACAACUGUUUAACCAUCUCAAAGCAACGAGGUUCUAAACUGCAGAUUAUAUUGGUGUGGCAAGACUUACUGCCUGAGGAAAGGUAUUUUUUAAACAAACAAAAAUAUCAGGAAGCAGAAUAUGCCCUAUAUUGUCCAAAGACAUGUAUUUAUCAUAGCAGAAAUUGUGAAUAGAAUAACAAGUUAUACUUGCAAAUCACAAUCAAAAAGAUAACUUCUUUGAUUCUGUUUUAAAUGAGAGAAAACCUGUUAUUUAUGUCCAUGAUAACAGCUGCACUCAAUCUUAUACAAAGUCUUCUUCUUUUAAUUUAAAAAUCAGUCUCAAAGGACUGGACAAGAUACAUUGUUAACUCAGUUUUCAGUUUUUUGUGGCACCCUUGGAGUCAGUUUAACAGAACAGUCGUUGUUUUCAUACCCCAGUUUGAAUCUGGUCUUGGCUGUCUCUUACUCUGAGAAGAAGUUGAAAAAAACCAACAACUGUGCUUUGUAAAUGGAAUGUGGCCAUGGCAUGUUUGAAGAGAUCUUAAUAACCUCCACAUCCAGUCUCCUGCCUCAGACAGGAUUUAAGGGCAGUAUCUUUGCCCUGAGGUUUGCUGUCAUGGGGAAAUGUGGAAGAAGGACCUAUGAGACUGGGACUGCAGCAAGGGAAAACCAGAUUAGAUUAAACACCUGAAUUUUGAUGUCUAAAGUUAAGAUCACUUCUACCUUCAAUCAUUUAUAAUGUAAAGAAUACAUAAUCACAGUAUUUAAGAGAUGCCUGGAUCUGGAAGAAUUUGCAUUUAAAAAUGCAUAAUGCUCCAAGACUGGUGCUUUAAAAUGAAACCACAUCCCCUAGACAGGGAACUUUCUCAGCAUUACUCUACACUUAACAAGAGGAGAGCUUCUCUCUAACACUCCAGGACUGCCAAUACAAACCAACUUUUCAGAAUGCAGUCAAUUUACCACGAGUAUCUCCUGAAAAUAUAAAUGAUGGGUAUUUAAGACCCUCUUCCAUGGCACAAAACUACAUCUCUGAAGACUGCUCAGAAUUUGCCAUUUAACCUUUAAAAGCCUAAAAUGUCGAGCAGUUCAUCAUGUAGUCAUUCUUUCCAGAAAUACUAAAUGACGUAUUAAAUUUGGGCUAAUAAAAUGAUAACAAACAUUGGGCUUAAAAUUCCAGCCCAGAGCCUCGAGGGAGCAGAGGCAGAAUUUCCCAUCCUUGUAGCAUCCUGCACAUCUCUUCCCUAGAUUUCAGGUUGAGUAACCAACAUCACAGAGGAAAAGAAAGGCAACAGAAAGAGAAAAGUGAUUUUGUGGCCACAAAGGAGACAAAUCUCCUCUCUACCCUUCACACUGGGAGGAGCCAACAGCUUCCCACUGCAGGACUUCUGCUGCUGCCCUCACUGACCCUAAAGCUGGGCUCUGAAUCCAGACAGGAUGAGCACAGACAUGGAAGAUGGGCUUUUACUCCUCUUGUGCAGGGCCAGCAUUCACACACAGCCUGUCAUGUCCCUCUGCAUGGCACCCCUUCCCUCGAGCACGGGAACCACCCCACACAGCUGGGUGCCCUCAACCCCACGGUAUAUGGCACUGACAAAGCUGUUAAACAGCACUGGUCCCAAAUCCAACUCCUGAGGAACAUCAUUAGGCAAAAAUUUUUUUUUCCUCAUCUCCUUGUUCACUAAAAUGUACAGAAAUGUUCUGGAAAAAUCAUUAAAAAAAAUAUUCUCCUGAAGACCUCCAUUCUUUAUAUUCCUUCUGUUAAUGCAGAGUUCACUGGAGUUUCAGAGGUAUUUUUGGAACUCCCAGCACAAAGAUCAGGUACCUGAGUACUCUUCACAAACCCCCACUUACUGCUAUGAAAGAGAGAUCAUUCACCACUUUAUAAAAAUUGAGUGCACAUAAUCUCAUACUAGUAAAAAUGUCUGAAAAAAAUAGAGAGAGAAAUAUCAGACCCACAUGAACUGUCAGGUAAGUGUUCCUUCCAAAAGCAAAGUAUUAAAAUGGCAUUCUUGUAUUCCAAUCAAAUGUCAGUGAUGUGAACUAACAAGUCCUACAGUAAUACUUUUUUUCACUCACAAUAUUUCAUUGUUCUAAAUAAGCUGGAGCAUUUGGUGGCAGGAUGUUCUACAUGCUUACACUUUACAGCACAUGCAUAGGACACACAGUAAAGUUGCAGGUAAAAUCAGGGAUAUUUAAGAGAGAACAACGUUACGUAUUCUGACUUCUACUUAAUGAAAAAGAUAAAACUCCUGGCUGAACAAUGUACAUGCAUGGUACAUAUAAAUAUAUAUAUAUACAUAUGCAUAAUGAAUGUGUAUACACACCUAAAAAGAGGAUUUGUGCAAACUUGUUAAGUUUAAGAAUAGGGAAGAAAUCUGAUGCAGGUACCUUUUAAAAUCUGAGUAGCAGAUUAAUAAAAUUUCAGUACAUACAUGGUUUAUUAUGUAACUAAGAUACAUGCAUUUAUAUGCUGUUUAACAUAUUUUGUUAACUAUUUUUCAUAUAUGUCAUAUCUGAUGUACAUAUGCUUUAUGUAUUAUAUUUUAGUUACCAUAUUCUACAUUACAUAUUAAAGUCACUUGGAUUGAAUGUCAUGUUUGGUCUCUAGUCAACAUCACUUUAUUGCUAUGUAUGACGUUGAGCAAAUUUACUAUUUUCCAGCACUGUAAACUCAUUGUUCAG